GAAACCUGCCCAGCAGAGUGACCAGCGAACAUGUUUUUCAUGAAUAGGGUUGGAGCUUGUGUAAUGCCUUGUGUAUUGUGCAGGUUUCUACUCUACGUCAAGGAGACACUCCGUAUAGGGGUGCCUUCUUGGCACAAUAACGAACCCCGACGCGUUUUGCGUCAAGGAAAAUGAAUACAAGUGUGCCCACCAUUGCCUAGUUUGCUAGGCAUUGGGGGGGCACCCAGUCGUAUAAAACAUUAAACGACUCUCGGCAACGGAUAUCUCGGCUCUCGCAUCGAUGAAGAACGUAGCGAAAUGCGAUACUUGGUGUGAAUUGCAGAAUCCCGUGAACCAUCGAGUCUUUGAACGCAAGUUGCGCCCGAAGCCUUCGGGUUGAGGGCACGCCUGCCUGGGCGUCACGCAUCGCGUCUCCCCCAACCCACCAGUGGUGGGGAGGUGGAGGAUGAUGGCCUCCCAUGCCUCACCGGGCGUGGAUGGCCUAAAAAUGGAGCCCUUGGUUAUGAGCUGCCGCGGCGAAUGGUGGUAUACAAGGCCUUUGGCCUAUGAUGCAUCGUGUCGUGCAGCACCUA
rnacentral:rRNA from 1 species